AAGCGUUGAAUUGAAGCCCGAGUAAACGGCGGCCGUAACUAUAACGGUCCUAAGGUAGCGAAAUUCCUUGUCGGUUAAAUACCGACCUGCAUGAAUGGCGUAACGAGAUGGGAGCUGUCUCAACCAGAGAUUCAGUGAAAUUGUAGUGGAGGUGAAAAUUCCUCCUACCCGCGGCAAGACGGAAAGACCCCGUGGACCUUUACUACA
rnacentral:rRNA from 1 species